rnacentral:rRNA from 1 species
CCUACGGGAGGCAGCAGUGGGGAAUAUUGGGCAAUGGAGGAAACUCUGACCCAGCGACGCCGCGUGAGGGAUGAAGGCCUUCGGGUUGUAAACCUCUUUCAGUAGGGAAGAAGCGAAAGUGACGGUACCUACAGAAGAAGCACCGGCUAACUAUGUGCCAGCAGCCGCGGUAAUACAUAGGGUGCAAGCGUUGUCCGGAAUUAUUGGGCGUAAAGAGCUCGUAGGUGGUUCGAUACGUCGGAUGUGAAAAUCAGGGGCUCAACCCCUGACCUGCAUCCGAUACGGUCGAGCUAGAGUUUGGUAGGGGAGACUGGAAUUCCUGGUGUAGCGGUGGAAUGCGCAGAUAUCAGGAGGAACACCGAUGGCGAAGGCAGGUCUCUGGGCCAAUACUGACACUGAGGAGCGAAAGCGUGGGGAGCGAACAGGAUUAGAUACCCUGGUAGUCCACGCCGUAAACGGUGGGCGCUAGUUGUGCGAACCUUCCACGGUUUGUGCGACGCNGCUACGCAUAGUACGCCCGCCGUCGGGAGGUACGAGCGCGAGAGUAAACGUACGUAAGUAAGUAGUUAGCGUGAGAGUGCCGACGGACGACGACGAGGGAGGAGG